CCCUUCGAUGUUCUGGGCUGCACGCGCGCUACAAUGGCAACGACAGAGAGCGUGAAUUAAUUAUAGAGUCGCAUCGAGAGAUGUGACGAAUCAGCAAUCGUUGUCGUGAUUGGGAUUGAGCGUUGUAAUAUUUGCUCAUGAAAGAGGAAUUCCUCGUAAGCGCGAGUCACCAACUCGUGUUGAAUACGUCUCUGCCCUUUGUACACACCGCCCGUCGCUCCUACCGAUUGAGUGGUCCGGUGAGGCUUUGGGAUCUGAGCGGAAAGAGCGUUUCGCUGUUUCUGCUCGGAAAACUCAGUCGAACCUUAUCAUUUAGAGGAAGGAGAAGUCGUAACA
rnacentral:rRNA from 1 species